UACGGAGGGAGCUAGCGUUGUUCGGAAUUACUGGGCGUAAAGCGUGCGUAGGCGGUUAUUCAAGUCAGAGGUGAAAGCCCGGGGCUCAACCCCGGAACGGCCUUUGAAACUAGGUAACUAGAAUCUUGGAGAGGUUAGUGGAAUUCCGAGUGUAGAGGUGAAAUUCGUAGAUAUUCGGAAGAACACCAGUGGCGAAGGCGACUAACUGGACAAGUAUUGACGCUGAGGUACGAAAAGCGUGGGGAGCAAACAGG
rnacentral:rRNA from 1 species